GGGAGGUAAAUUUCUCCUAAGGCUAAAUAUUGGCGAGAGACCGAUAGCGAACAAGUACCGUGAGGGAAAGAUGAAAAGAACUUUGAAAAGAGAGUAAAAUAGUACGUGAAAUUGUUGAAAGGGAAACGAUUGAAGUCAGUCGUACCGACGGAAAAUCAGCUCUUNGAGUGCGGACUUGUGGGUUUACGUGAGCUUUACGGCCUCGUUGUUUGCAAUGUUCGUUCUUUUUGGGUGUACUUUUUCGUAUGGUNGGCCAAUAUCAGUUUCGAUCGCUAUAAAAUGACCGGAGGAAUGUAGCUUC
rnacentral:rRNA from 1 species